rnacentral:lncRNA from 1 species
AUUGUGUAGUCGCCGAGCCUUGUUUGCUGGUCACUUGCGUCAUUUCGAGAGUUCAGAAAUGACGAGUGAGCGACGGUGGGUUCCGGUGUCGAAUUUGACACUUUCGGGAACCCGAGUUCGUACAAUUAUCCGGCGAUAAUUGUGUAGUUGUGUUAACUUGUGUUUGCUGCCAAGACAUCCAAAUUGGUGUGUUUUGUGGCAGCGGGUGACUCGUAUCAUGAGUCGGAACAUUUCGGGACAGUUCGUGGGUCCCGACGGAGUCCCGGUGCGAUUUUCGGGACUUCCGACGAGUUACGGUAGUCGGUUUUGGGAAACUGAUCUCCGUGGAUUUGUUAGUGGGAUUAUGAUGUAGUAUUUCUUAGUUGUGGGUUAGACACUAACCCAGUGGACCCUCCAUAGGUCCUGUUGACGUUCUUUUGCAGUCAGGAGACAGGCGCGACAGUUGUACAGGUGGGUACUUCGAUCCGACGUCGGUACAGUGGUGCACGCU